CAACUGUGGGUCGGCAAGCUGCGUCUGCUCCCGGCGCUGCACGCAGAUACUCAUCCGAGCAGCAUCCUCCGUACACACGCACCGCGCUGCGAAAACUGUGGUGAAAUAUGGAGGGUGGUGUUUGCAAACCUCUACCAGAGACUCAUAGGUUGUCCGCCACUGUAUGUUAUCAUCAUUGCCAUCUCGAUCAAACACACCACGACCAUCUCUUCUGUCGAACACACCAUGCUGUGUGGCAAAUGAAAGUGGUCUCCUCUCUCACAUACAGCACCAAAGACAUGUUUCAGUGGCUGUAAUCUAUUUUGAAGCAGGGGAAAACAGAGGCCUCUCAUUGAAUAUGUUUACAUUCCUUUCUACUUGAGGUUUUAAUGAUGUUGGAACUCAUGGCUGAGGCUAACUGCUACGAAAUGUGCCUUUUUCAUAAAAUACAAAUAUCAGUACUUUAAAAAAAUAAUACAUUUUA